GGGUUGUGAGGUUAAGCGACUAAGCGUACACGGUGGAUGCCCUGGCAGUCAGAGGCGAUGAAGGACGUGCUAAUCUGCGAUAAGCGUCGGUGAGGUGAUAUGAACCGUUAUAACCGGCGAUUUCCGAAUGGGGAAACCCAGUGUGAUUCGUCACACUAUCAUUAACUGAAUCCAUAGGUUAAUGAGGCGAACCGGGGGAACUGAAACAUCUAAGUACCCCGAGGAAAAGAAAUCAACCGAGAUUCCCCCAGUAGCGGCGAGCGAACGGGGAGSAGCCCAGAGCCUGAAUCAGUGUGUGUGUUAGUGGAAGCGUCUGGAAAGGCGCGCGAUACAGGGUGACAGCCCCGUACACAAAAAUGCACAUGCUGUGAGCUCGAUGAGUAGGGCGGGACACGUSGUAUCCUGUCUGAAUAUGGGGGGACCAUCCUCCAAGGCUAAAUACUCCUGACUGACCGAUAGUGAACCAGUACCGUGAGGGAAAGGCGAAAAGAACCCCGGCGAGGGGAGUGAAAAAGAACCUGAAACCGUGUACGUACAAGCAGUGGGAGCCUCUUUUAUGGGGUGACUGCGUACCUUUUGUAUAAUGGGUCAGCGACUUAUAUUCUGUAGCAAGGUU
rnacentral:rRNA from 1 species